GAUGAACGCUGGCGGCGUGCUUAACACAUGCAAGUCGAACGAAGCAUUUAAGACAGAUUACUUCGGUUUGAGGUCUUUUAUGACUGAGUGGCGGACGGGUGAGUAACGCGUGGGUAACCUGCCUCAUACAGGGGGAUAGCAGCUGGAAACGGCUGGUAAUACCGCAUAAGCGCACAGUACCACAUGGUACAGUGUGAAAAACUCCGGUGGUAUGAGAUGGACCCGCGUCUGAUUAGCUUGUUGGCGGGGUAACGGCCCACCAAGGCGACGAUCAGUAGCCGGACUGAGAGGGUGACCGGCCACAUUGGGACUGAGACACGGCCCAGACUCCUACGGGAGGCAGCAGUGGGGAAUAUUGCACAAUGGAGGAAACUCUGAUGCAGCGACGCCGCGUGAGUGAAGAAGUAGUUCGCUAUGUAAAGCUCUAUCAGCAGGGAAGAUAGUGACGGUACCUGACUAAGAAGCUCCGGCUAAAUACGUG
rnacentral:rRNA from 1 species